rnacentral:rRNA from 1 species
UAGGGAAUCUUCCACAAUGGACGCAAGUCUGAUGGAGCAACGCCGCGUGAGUGAAGAAGGUUUUCGGAUCGUAAAGCUCUGUUGUUGGUGAAGAAGGAUAGAGGCAGUAACUGGUCUUUAUUUGACGGUAAUCAACCAGAAAGUCACGGCUAACUACGUGCCAGCAGCCGCGGUAAUACGUAGGUGGCAAGCGUUGUCCGGAUUUAUUGGGCGUAAAGCGAGCGCAGGCGGAAUAAUAAGUCUGAUGUGAAAGCCCACGGCUCAACCGUGGAACUGCAUCGGAAACUGUCAUUCUUGAGUGCAGAAGAGGAGAGUGGAAUUCCAUGUGUAGCGGCGGAAUGCGUAGAUAUAUGGAAGAACACCAGUGGCGAAGGCGGCUCUCUGGUCUGCAACUGACGCUGAGGCUCGAAAGCAUGGGUAGCGAACAGG